GAUGAAGAACGCAGCGAAAUGCGAUAAGUAAUGUGAAUUGCAGAAUUCAGUGAAUCAUCGAAUCUUUGAACGCACCUUGCACUCCUUGGUAUUCCGAGGAGUACGCCUGUUCGAGUGUUAUGAAGCUCUCAAAACGCAAAUGGCUUAAAACCUGAUUGUUGUUUUGGAUUUGAACUUUGCCGUGUUAUAACGGCUGGUUUUAAAAGUAUUAGCUGGUACUAGAACGAAUUGGUUCUACUCAACGUGAUAAUUAUCUGAUCGUUGAGGACAUUCCUUUCACGAGGAAUGGCCAUAGUAAAUUCAAUGGACUGCUUCUAAUCUGGCUUUAAUUCUUUAUUGGAUUAACCACUUUUCAAAUCUGACCUCGAAUCAGGUGGGACUACCCGCUGAACUUAAGCAUAUCAAUAAGCGGAGGA
rnacentral:misc_RNA from 1 species